UCAUUACUUCUUUUUAAUUUUAUUUUAUAUGAAUUGAUAAUACUGAAAAUAAGACUGAAAUGAUAAUGAUAUCUAAGAAUUAAAUUAUAAGACCAAAAAAUGCAUUGACUAAUAUUUCUACUUUAUAUCUUAUCCGUGAUUAUAUUCGACAAUUUGACGGAAUAGUUAAAAAAACAUUGAUAACAAUGGAUAAAUUAAUUAUUUUAAUAUUAAAAAAAAAUACAUUAUUAUAAUAAAUCAUAAACAAUCUCUAUUAAACAAAAAAAAAAAUAUAUAAAUAUAAGAAACUGAAAUAAUAUUUUCUUUUAUAAAAAAAUAUUAGAAAAAUUUAUAAUAAUAGUAAAAACAAAGAUAUGGCAUCUUUUAACGAAGAAGAUUUAGAAAAUGAAGAUUAUGAAGAUGACUCUAAAGAUCUUUAUGGUAUCAGAGAUGGUAUACUUUUUUUAAUUGAUGCAACACCUCCAAUGUUCAAAAAUGAUCCACAAAAUGAAAUUCCAUAUUUUUUGCAAUGCAUAAAGCAAUACAAAGAAAUUCUUAAGCAAAAAUUAGUAUGGAAUAGACAAGAUUGGAUGGGUUUAAUUUUGUUUGGAACUGAAAAAUAUGAUUCAGAUGAAACAAAAAAUAUAUUAACUCUUAAGAAAUUAAAUCUUAUCUCAAAGGAUGAUUUAAAAGAUGUAAUGAAAAUAGAUGAAGGAAAAACAUGGGAAUACUAUAGAGAUAAUGCUUCUUCUAUUUCUUAUCCAUUACAUGAUGUACUGUGGUAUGCAACACGAGCAUUCUCGACUGUGCAUAUUACUAUGUCAAUGAAAAGAGUAAUUCUUUUUACAUGUCAAGAUAAUCCUCCAAUAAUAGAUGAUAAUGAAAAACAUAGAAUAAGAGUAAAAGCAACAAGUUAUAGUGACAUAGAUGUCCAAUUAUCUGUUAUUGGUUUGGGUGAAAAUUGGAAUCAUGAUUUGUUUUAUAAAGAUUUAGAAAUGUUAUCUGGAAAAAUUGAAGUAGAUGAUUAUAAAAGAACAUCUUUAAAAGAUUUAGUGGAACAAGUAAAAUUGCCCUCCAGAAAUAUGGCAAAACUACCUUGGAGACUUGGAGAAAAUGUAACUAUAGAUGUAUCACUUCGUAAUCUCUCUGUUAAAACACAAUAUUUACACAAAGAAAAUAUAAGUAAACAAACUAAUAUUCCUUUAACUACACGUACAUAUUUUAAAGUGGAUAAAGAUGAUAUAAUGACAGAAGAGAUAGAUGAUAUAGAAAAUAAGCGAACAUCAUCACCUGUUCUAGAAAUGGAUAUUCGAAAAUAUCAAAAUUUCGGUUUGGAAAAAAUAUAUUUUACACAAGCAGAAGUAAGAUCCUUAAGUACGACGCGAGAACCAGGCAUUGAUUUAAUUUGUAUGAAACAUAUUUCUUAUCAUCUUUUAUAUCAUGUUGAAACGCCAUAUUUUGUUAUACCAAGCAAAAGUAAUCGUAAAGAUAACAAAUUAUUAUUUGGUGCAUUACUCAAUAAAUGUGAGUCAAAGAAAUUAAUGAUAAUAUGUGCAGUAACAAUAAGAAGUUAUUCUGCUUCAAGUUUAUAUACUAUGAUUCCAAAUGUAAAUAAUGGUGGAUUUUAUUUAUAUAAAAUGCCAUUUAGAGAAAAUGUUCGAAAUCUUAGCGAAUAUUUCUCAGAUUUUAUAUAUAACCAUAAUGAAAAAAAACCUCCAAUUGAAUCAAAUGGAGUUGAACUUCUAAAAAAUAUAAUGAAAAAAUUAAAUAUCGAAUAUAAUCCAAAAUUAUUUUCAAAUCCUAAAUUACAAAUACAACUUCAAAUAGUAGAAACUUUAGCUCUAGAUUUGGAACACUUUAAAUCAUUGCCUGAUGAUACACUUCCGAAAACCGAAGAGAUUCAUAAACUUAUAAAAGAUUUAUUAGAUGAAUAUAAUAAAAUAUUUAAUGAAGAAACAGAAGACAAUAUAUCAAAAAAAAAAAGAAAAAAUGUAAGAAAAUAAACAAAGUAAUAGAACUAACUGCAUUAGAAAGUUAAAAAAAAGAUUAAAGAAUUCGUACUAAAGAGACAGAUAAAAAACAUAACUAUUUCACAAUUAAGAAUUGGUUUAAAAACAUUAUAUUUGAAGAUAUUUGAUAAAAAAAAUGAAUUAAUUAAUAAGAUUAAGGAAUAUUUUAAAUGAAAUAUCAUAAAAUAUUAAAAAAUAAUUUAUUUAAUGCGAAUUUCUUUAUACAAUUUAUAAUUUCGUAAUUCUAUUACUAUAACUUCUGAUAAUAGGUUGUUUUAUUUGAAAAAUUAAUUUUUCUAAAUGAAUUGUUGUAAUUAUAUUUGUAUUAUUAUAUUUCUAAAUGAUUCUUAUAUUAUAUUGAUAAUUUAUUAUAUUAUAUUGUUUUUGAUUUAUUGUGCUUUUUGUGCGAUUUUAUAUUUGUAAUUAAAUUUUGUAAUGAUUUAUUUGUAUAAAAUGAAUGUUAUUAUGUAUAUUUAUUAUGUAUAAUAUAUGUACAAUAUUAUCAUUAAA